rnacentral:rRNA from 1 species
GAGCACUGUGGUAGUAACAGAGGGUUUGAUUCUGGCUCAGAUUGAACGCUGGCGGGAUGCUUUACACAUGCAAGUCGAACGGCAGCACGGACUUCGGUCUGGUGGCGAGUGGCGAACGGGUGAGUAAUGUAUCGGAACGUGCCUAGUAGCGGGGAUAACUACGCGAAAGCGUAGCUAAUACUCGCAUACAGCCCCUUCGGGGAAAGCGGGGACCUUCGGGUCUCGCACUAUUAGAGUGGCCGAUAUCGGAUUAGCUAGUUGGUGCAACGGCCACCAAGGCGACGAUCCGUAGCUGGUCGAGAGGACGACCAGCCACACUGGGACUGAGACACGGCCCAGACUCCUACGGAGGCAGCAGUGGGGAAUUUUGGACAAUGGGGGAAACCCUGAUCCAGCCAUCCCGGCGUGUGCGAUGAAGACCUUCGGGCUAAAGCACUUUUGGCAGGAAAGAAACGGCAUCAGAGCAAUACCCCGUGCCAACUGACGGUACCUGCAGAAUAAGCACCGGCUAACUACAGGCCAGGCAGCCGGUAAUACGUAGGGUGCAAGCGUUAACGAAUUAUUAUCAUGUAAAGCGUGCGCAGGGCGGUUCGGAAAGAAAGAUGAAAUCCCAGAGCUUAAUUCGGAAUCGUAUUUUAACCGUUUAUGUUACGUGUCAGAGGAGGUGGACCUGCGCAGCAGAAUAUGUGGAUAUGCGGAGGUUCACUGACGCCGGCGAAGGCAGCCUCCUGGGAUAACACUGACGCUCAUGCACGAAAGCGUGGGGAGCAAACAGGAUUAGAUACCCUGGUAGUCCACGCCCUAAACGAUGUCAACUAGCUGUUGGGGCUUCUGGCCCGGUAGCGCAGCUAACGCGUGAAGUUGACCGCCCGGGGAGUACGGUCGCAAGAUUAAAACUCAAAGAAUUGAUGUAAUCGCACAAGCGGUGGAUGAUGUGGAUUAAUCUGAUGCAACGCGAAAACUACCUACCCUUGAUAUGUUCCAAUCCGAAGAGAUUUGGGAGUGCUCGCAAGAGAACCGGAACACAGGUGCUGCAUGGCUGUCGUCAGCUCGUGUCGUGAGAUGUUGCUGAGUCUCGCAACGAAAGCGCAACCUCGUCAUUAGUUGCUACGAAAGGGCACUCUAAUGAGACUGCCGGUGACAAACCGAGGAAGGUGGGGAUGACGUCAAGUCCUCAAGUGGCCUCUUAUGGGUGGGCUUGGCUAUCAAGUGCUACAAUGGUCGGGACAGAGGGUCGCCAACCCGCGAGGGGAGCCAAUCCCAGAAACCCGAUUGUAGUCCGGAUCGCAGUCUGCUGUAACCGACCAGUGAAGUCGGAAUCGCUAGUAAUCGCGGGGAUCAGCAUGUCGCGGUGAAUACGUUCCCGGGUCUUGUACACACCGCCCGUCACACCAUGGGAGUGGGUUUUACCAGAAGUGUUAGCCUUAAACCGUAAGGAGGGCGAUUACCACGGUAGGAUCUGGCGACCGGGGUGAAGUCGUAACAAGGUAG